UAAUACGGAGGGUGCGAGCGUUGUCCGGAAUCAUUGGGCGUAAAGGGCGCGUAGGUGGCCCGGUCAGUCUUUGGUGAAAGCGCGGGGCUCAACCCUGCGUCGGCCAGGGAUACUGCCGCGGCUCGAGCACUGUAGAGGCAGGCGGAAUUCCGGGUGUAGCGGUGGAAUGCGUAGAGAUCCGGAAGAACACCGGUGGCGAAGGCGGCCUGCUGGGCAGUUUAGCUGACACUGAGGCGC
rnacentral:rRNA from 1 species